AACCAGUACCGUGAGGGAAAGGCGAAAAGAACCCCGGCGAGGGGAGUGAAAAAGAACCUGAAACCGUGUACGUACAAGCAGUGGGAGCACCUUCGGGUGUGACUGCGUACCUUUUGUAUAAUGGGUCAGCGACUUAUAUUCUGUAGCAAGGUUAACCGUAUAGGGGAGCCGCAGGGAAACCGAGUCUUAACUGGGCGUUAAGUUGCAGGGUAUAGACCCGAAACCCGGUGAUCUAGCCAUGGGCAGGUUGAAGGUUGGGUAACACUAACUGGAGGACCGAACCGACUAAUGUUGAAAAAUUAGCGGAUGACUUGUGGCUGGGGGUGAAAGGCCAAUCAAACCGGGAGAUAGCUGGUUCUCCCCGAAAGCUAUUUAGGUAGCGCCUCGUGAAUUCAUCUUCGGGGGUAGAGCACUGUUUCGGCUAGGGGGUCAUCCCGACUUACCAACCCGAUGCAAACUACGAAUACCGAAGAAUGUUAUCACGGGAGACACACGGCGGGUGCUAACGUCCGUCGUGAAGAGGGAAACAACCCAGACCGCCAGCUAAGGUCCCAAAGUCAUGGUUAAGUGGGAAACGAUGUGGGAAGGCACAGACAGCCAGGAUGUUGGCUUAGAAGCAGCCAUCAUUUAAAGAAAGCGUAAUAGCUCACUGGUCGAGUCGGCCUGCGCGGAAGAUGUAACGGGGCUAAACCAUGCACCGAAGCUGCGGCAGCGACACUAUGUGUUGUUGGGUAGGGGAGCGUUCUGUAAGCCUGCGAAGGUGACCUGUGAGGGUUGCUGGAGGUAUCAGAAGUGCGAAUGCUGACAUAAGUAACGAUAAAGCGGGUGAAAAGCCCGCUCGCCGGAAGACCAAGGGUUCCUGUCCAACGUUAAUCGGGGCAGGGUGAGUCGACCCCUAAGGCGAGGCCGAAAGGCGUAGUCGAUGGGAAACAGGUUAAUAUUCCUGUACUUGGUGUUACUGCGAAGGGGGGACGGAGAAGGCUAUGUUAGCCGGGCGACGGUUGUCCCGGUUUAAGCAUGUAGGCUGGUUGUCCAGGCAAAUCCGGAUAAUCAAGGCUGAGGUGUGAUGACGAGG
rnacentral:rRNA from 1 species